UUGAAAGGGAAACGAUUGAAGUCAGCCGUACCGAUGGACAAUCAGCCUUUUGAGUGCGAUUCUGUGGGGCAUGAGGAGGAAACCCUCGUGUUUUGCAUAUUUGUGCUCUUUGGGUGUAUUUGUUCGUAUGGUGGGUUAACAUCAAUUUUGGUCGUCAUAAAGUGACGGGAGGAAUGUAGCUUUGUCUCGUAUUGAAGUGUUAUAGCCUCUGGUAGAUGUGACGACCGGGAUUGAGGAUUGCAACGGAUACCCCUCGGGGCUACUCGCCUGAUCUCUGAUCGUUACUCUGGUGCCGAAAGCUUGCUUAUGUCAUCAAAGUUGAUGGUCAAAAGGUUAGAACGGGUUAAAUUCGUUAAGGAUGUUGACGUA
rnacentral:rRNA from 1 species